rnacentral:rRNA from 1 species
GAUGAACGCUAGCUACAGGCUUAACACAUGCAAGUCGAGGGGUAACGAGAGGGAAGCUUGCUUUCCUUGUCGACGACCGGCGCACGGGUGAGUAACGCGUAUCCAACCUGCCCCCAACUAGGGAAUAACCUUGCGAAAGUAAGACUAAUACCCUAUAAUUUCCUCAGAUGUCAUCUGACGAGGAAUAAAGAUUUAUCGGUUGUGGAUGGGGAUGCGUCUGAUUAGCUUGUUGGCGGGGUAACGGCCCACCAAGGCAAUGAUCAGUAGGGGUUCUGAGAGGAAGGUCCCCCACAGUGGAACUGAGACACGGUCCAAACUCCUACGGGAGGCAGCAGUGAGGAAUAUUGGUCAAUGGGCGGAAGCCUGAACCAGCCAAGUAGCGUGCAGGAUGACGGCCCUAUGGGUUGUAAACUGCUUUUAUACAGGAAUAAAGUUAGCCACGUGUGGUUAUUUGUAGGUACUGUAUGAAUAAGGACCGGCUAGUUCCGUGCCAGCCGCCGCGGUAA